rnacentral:lncRNA from 1 species
GCUCUUCUAUUUCAGGAAGCAAUUAUUCUGGUAAACAGAAUUCAUCUUCCUCAGGGGGCAGCCAAGUGAGCUCUGCUGGGAAACACUCCAGUCCUGGACUCCUGCUGCUAUUGAGUGUUUUGAGUGCCUUUGCUGCCUCUGCUGCCAUAUCAAAGUGGUCUAUAUGAACUUCUGAAGAUGUGCUUGGCAUCCUAGACAUGGAUUAUACUCUGUAAUACUAGAUUAAUUACUUGAUGUAAGAAAAAAAACAAACUUAAGUCAAAUUAGCAUAUGUUAUUUGGCUGUUAUGUUGUAUGUCUGGUUAAUAUGCCAUGCCUCUGAUUAGUUUACCUUUAGUUUUAGUAAUUAGUAGGUGUCAUUAGUUUUAUCAGUGUUUUAGACAUCAUUUAACAGAGCAUAUUGUGCCCUACCGAUAUGAUUUUUUUUUUAUUUCCAACUAGGAAUGUGAUGAAUACCUAACUGAAAUUUGAUUUGUUGCUUAGAAAAUAUUUGGUUAGUAACCAAAAAGGGGGUUGAAGGG